CCUGUAUCUGGUUGGAUGAUCGUUCACCUCUACUUAGGCAUGUGAACGUGAGGCCAGCAGUCAAGCUAGUCGGCUUUGGCUCUCAAAGGGCUGUUACGCCACAUAUUUAAUUUAAUUGGAGUACUGAAGGAUAGUGUUUCAUGUAUAUGAUCCAAACCUAAACUUUGGAAGCUGAAUAAGAAUAAGAGGUUAGAAAAUGUGUCAGACUUGAAGUAAAUCAGUGAUAUUGUGCUGUGAUGUUUAGUUAUUAUUGUAUUUAUUUUAAUUUUAGUGAUUUGACUGAUUUUUAGAAGUAGAGAAAUAACCUAAUAAUUGAUGAAGACCUGAAAUGUAAUAUGUUAUGAAUUUUUGUUAAAGAGAGGAAACUUGAGAUUUUUUAUAUAAUUUUUAUGUAACAAACCAGAAAGACUGUCAUAUGCUAAUGAAAUGUUAAUUAUAAUAUUGUCCAUUAAGUGUGAAUAUAAGCUGUCCAAAUA